UCUUUUCUCUCCUCAAACCCUAAAAGUGACUGAAAAAAACCUAGAACACGCCUCUCCGCCGUCGCAAACCGUUGAAUCACAGAAGAUGAAUCAGUUUUAUCCGCCGAAAAGAUUCGUUCUCUUCAAUCUCAGUUUUUCGCAAAUCACCCCGCACAUUUGCGCCUUCUUAAGCGUUAGAUCCGCACAAUUUUUCAUGCUUGGUGUAUGGUGGAGGAAGUGUUAGACUGAUGGGGUUGAUAUCUCAGAAUAUGUAUAGUGGUGGCUGCAAUGUUCUAUGGAUAAAUGAAGAAACGUGUUUUAUAUUCAUUCAAAUGUUGUUAUUCUAAAACUUGGGCAUAACUUGGAAUUCAUAUAAAAACGGGUUGGCCUACUGAAUGUUGAGGGUUACUAUAACUUUUUGCUUGCACUAUUUGACAAUGAUGUUGAAGAAGACUCAUUAAGCCCGGUGCUCAGAAUAUAGUUGUCUCAACUUCAUCCGCCAAAGAACUUAUGAUGGAGUUGGAGGUUAAUGGGGUUGGUGAUGUUGUGUGGUAAAUCAUGUUGAUCAAUUAAACAAAGAAGAGAAAGCCUACCUUGAAUAACAUUAUUAUCUUGAUAAAUUUUUUCCAAUGCAGGAACGCAAAAUGCAGCAAUUUUGCCUGUCCCGUUUUAGCCCAAGCAAGAAUGUCACUACCAGUAAGGGAAAUUGGAAUGCUUUCUUCUUGGAUAGGGGAUGACCUUUCAAACCCCUUCUCAUAUAUUCCCAUUAGCAGCUCACGCUUCAAAAAGGCAAAUAAGAGCUUGAUGCUGCAAGUUUGCAAGAACAUGAAGAGCUCCUAUUUAACUUGGAAGAUAUGAGAUUGAGGUGGUACUUCGCACCAUUCUUUUGUGAGUUUUACCUAAAUUUCAUGAAGCGCAAAGAGUAGAUUCAGAGGCAUAUGGUCAAUAGUCAUAAUUUGGAUAAAGUUCGGAAAUUAAAAAGUGAAAUAACUAGGUUGGCAAUCGGCUAAGAACACUCCAGCUGAUGGAGCUACUGCUCUCCAUCUGCUGUGAGGAAGGAAAUAGCCAGAGGAAACAGAUCGAAUAACUGGGAAGUCAAAGCAGAUUUCAAAUCAUCCCAUUCAUCUCAGCAUUUAUUCUCCAAAUGGUUUGUAGCUGCACUGUCCAUCUAUAACAUGAUAGAUUAAACAUGAAUCCAAUUUGAUUGGCUUUUAGAAUUGGUAAGAGUUGCCUUUUUAUUUCCUUGCUAUCAUUGAGAAGCAACAGAUACUCCAUAGCACACUUUUUUCAAGACAGUUGGGGGUAAUUUUCAUGCAGAUCCCACUUAUCAUGUGGGUUCCAUUCACAAUUCUAAGGUCCAAAAUAAGCUAAAGUUUACACUAAUGCUUGUGUAAUUUUCUAAACUUUGAAAUUCGCUUGUCCUUUUGUAGUGGUGAAUGUUUACAGUAACUGACCAUUACCAUACACCACACGAAGUUGAAGUUUUU